GUCUGGCCUAAAUAUAAAAUGUAAUCCUGGUAUCUAUGAUGAGUUUAUUUAUCAUGCUAUAUAAUGUUCAUUUUCCUUGGAUUGUACUUUAGUUACUUGAGAUUUCUAAACAAGUUCGACCGUUCUGGAGUUUUACUUGUUUGACUCUUCUGGAGAUUUACUUGGCUAGCAAAUUAUCUUGUAUCAACAAGGUUUGACUGUAAUGUCAU
rnacentral:lncRNA from 1 species